AACGAACGCUGGCGGCAGGCCUAACACAUGCAAGUCGAGCGAGACCUUCGGGUCUAGCGGCGGACGGGUUAGUAACGCGUGGGAACGUGCCCUUCUCUGCGGAAUAGCCACUGGAAACGGUGAGUAAUACCGCAUACGCCCUUCGGGGGAAAGAUUUAUCGGAGAAGGAUCGGCCCGCGUUAGAUUAGAUAGUUGGUGGGUAACGGCCUACCAAGUCUACGAUCUAUAGCUGGUUUUAGAGGAUGAUCAGCAACACUGGGACUGAGACACGGCCCAGACUCCUACGGGAGGCAACAGUGGGGAAUCUUAGACAAUGGGCGCAAGCCUGAUCUAGCCAUGCCGCGUGUGUGAUGAAGGUCUUAGGAUCGUAAAGCACUUUCGCCAGGGAUGAUAAUGACAGUACCUGGUAAAGAAACCCCGGCUAACUCCGUG
rnacentral:rRNA from 1 species